GAUGAACGCUGGCGGCGUGCCUAAUACAUGCAAGUCGAGCGAACGGACGAGAAGCUUGCUUCUCUGAUGUUAGCGGCGGACGGGUGAGUAACACGUGGAUAACCUACCUAUAAGACUGGGAUAACUUCGGGAAACCGGAGCUAAUACCGGAUAAUAUUUUUAACCGCCUGGUUCAAAAGUGAAAGACGGUCUUGCUGUCACUUAUAGAUGGAUCCGCGCUGCAUUAGCUAGUUGGUAAGGUAACGGCUUACCAAGGCAACGAUGCAUAGCCGACCUGAGAGGGUGAUCGGCCACACUGGAACUGAGACACGGUCCAGACUCCUACGGGAGGCAGCAGUAGGGAAUCUUCCGCAAUGGGCGAAAGCCUGACGGAGCAACGCCGCGUGAGUGAUGAAGGUCUUCGGAUCGUAAAACUCUGUUAUUAGGGAAGAACAUAUGUGUAAGUAACUGUGCACAUCUUGACGGUACCUAAUCAGAAAGCCACGGCUAACUACGUG
rnacentral:rRNA from 1 species